rnacentral:lncRNA from 1 species
CCACUCUAUAAUUCCUUGAUCCAAAUACACCUCGAAGGCUCGAAGCGAACAUUUUUUUUUUUUUAUAGAAAAUUAGCAUGUUAUUUGCUUCGUUUAUUUUUUAAAAAAUAAAUUUAGUUGAAAAUAUAAAUCAAUUACGAUUUGAAUUUGAAAUCUCGGAUAUCAAGUACCAAAUCUUUUGCCAGUUACGGUAAAAACGGCUGGUCUCAAAACGAACUUUUAAUUGUGAUUGAUCAACAAAAACUAC